rnacentral:rRNA from 1 species
CGGAGGGUGCAAGCGUUAUCCGGAUUCACUGGGUUUAAAGGGUGCGUAGGUGGAUCGGUAAGUCCGUGGUGAAAUCCCCGAGCUUAACUCGGGGACUGCCGUGGAUACUAUCGAUCUUGAAUACUGUGGAGGUAAGCGGAAUAUGUCAUGUAGCGGUGAAAUGCUUAGAUAUGACAUAGAACACCGAUAGCGAAGGCAGCUUGCUACACAGUUAUUGACACUGAGGCACGAAAGCGUGGGGAGCAAACAGG